rnacentral:rRNA from 1 species
GAUGAACGCUGGCGGCGUGCUUAACACAUGCAAGUCGAACGAUGAAGCCCAGCUUGCUGGGUGGAUUAGUGGCGAACGGGUGAGUAACACGUGAGUAACCUGCCCUUAACUCUGGGAUAAGCCUGGGAAACUGGGUCUAAUACCGGAUAGGAGCGUCCACCGCAUGGUGGGUGUUGGAAAGAUUUAUCGGUUUUGGAUGGACGCGCGGCCUAUCAGCUUGUUGGUGAGGUAAUGGCUCACCAAGGCGACGACGGGUAGCCGGCCUGAGAGGGUGACCGGCCACACUGGGACUGAGACACGGCCCAGACUCCUACGGGAGGCAGCAGUGGGGAAUAUUGCACAAUGGGCGCAAGCCUGAUGCAGCGACGCCGCGUGAGGGAUGACGGCCUUCGGGGGGUAAACCUCUGUCAGUAGGGAAGAAGCGAAAGUGACGGUACCUGCAGAAGAAGCACCGGCUAACUACGUG